CCUACGGGAGGCAGCAGUGGGGAAUAUUGCACAAUGGGGGAAACCCUGAUGCAGCGACGCCGCGUGAGUGAAGAAGUAUUUCGGUAUGUAAAGCUCUAUCAGCAGGGAAGAAGAAAGACGGUACCUGACUAAGAAGCACCGGCUAACUACGAGCCAGCAGCCGCGGUAAUACGUAGGGGGCAAGCGUGAUCCGGAUUUACUGGGUGUAACGGGAGCGUAGACGGCAGUGCAGGUCGGAAGUGAAAGCCCAGGGCUCAACCGUGGGACUGCUUUGGAAACUGUGGAGCUAGAGUGCUGGAGAGGUAAGUGGAAUGCGUAGUGUAGCGGUGAAAUGCGUAGAGAUGAGGAGGAACACCAAUGGCGAAGGCAGCUUACUGGACAGUAACUGACGUUGAGGCUCGAAAGCGUGGGGAGCAAACAGGAUUAGAUACCCCGGUAGUC
rnacentral:rRNA from 1 species